GAUGAACGCUGGCGGCGUGCCUAAUACAUGCAAGUCGAGCGAACAGACGAGGAGCUUACUCCUCUGACGUUAGCGGCGGACGGGUGAGUAACACGUGGAUAACCUACCUAUAAGACUGGGAUAACUUCGGGAAACCGGAGCUAAUACCGGAUAACAUGUUGAACCGCAUGGUUCAACAGUGAAAGACGGUCUUGCUGUCACUUAUAGAUGGAUCCGCGUCGCAUUAGCUAGUUGGUAAGGUAACGGCUUACCAAGGCAACGAUGCGUAGCCGACCUGAGAGGGUGAUCGACCACACUGGAACUGAGACACGGUCCAGACUCCUACGGGAGGCAGCAGUAGGGAAUCUUCCGCAAUGGGCGAAAGCCUGACGGAGCAACGCCGCGUGAGUGAAGAAGGUCUUCGGAUCGUAAAACUCUGUUAUUAGGGAAGAACAAAUGUGUAAGUAACUAUGCACGUCUUGACGGUACCUAAUCAGAAAGCCACGGCUAACUACGUGCCAGCAGCCGCGGUAAUACGUAGGUGGCAAGCGUUAUCCGGAAUUAUUGGGCGUAAAGCGCGCGUAGGCGGUUUUUUAAGUCUGAUGUGAAAGCCCACGGCUCAACCGUGGAGGGUCAUUGGAAACUGGAAAACUUGAGUGCAGAAGAGGAAAGUGGAAUUCCAUGUGUAGCGGUGAAAUGCGCAGAGAUAUGGAGGAACACCAGUGGCGAAGGCGACUUUCUGGUCUGUAACUGACGCUGAUGUGCGAAAGCGUGGGGAUCAAACAGGAUUAGAUACCCUGGUAGUCCACGCCGUAAACGAUGAGUGCUAAGUGUUAGGGGGUUUCCGCCCCUUAGUGCUGCAGCUAACGCAUUAAGCACUCCGCCUGGGGAGUACGACCGCAAGGUUGAAACUCAAAGGAAUUGACGGGGACCCGCACAAGCGGUGGAGCAUGUGGUUUAAUUCGAAGCAACGCGAAGAACCUUACCGAAUCUUGACAUCCUCUGACCCCUCUAGAGAUAGAGUUUUCCCCUUCGGGGGACAGAGUGACAGGUGGUGCAUGGUUGUCGUCAGCUCGUGUCGUGAGAUGUUGGGUUAAGUCCCGCAACGAGCGCAACCCUUAAGCUUAGUUGCCAUCAUUAAGUUGGGCACUCUAAGUUGACUGCCGGUGACAAACCGGAGGAAGGUGGGGAUGACGUCAAAUCAUCAUGCCCCUUAUGAUUUGGGCUACACACGUGCUACAAUGGACAAUACAAAGGGUAGCGAAACCGCGAGGUCAAGCAAAUCCCAUAAAGUUGUUCUCAGUUCGGAUUGUAGUCUGCAACUCGACUACAUGAAGCUGGAAUCGCUAGUAAUCGUAGAUCAGCAUGCUACGGUGAAUACGUUCCCGGGUCU
rnacentral:rRNA from 1 species